UUCCCACGUUGCUGUAGCUUCUUGACAAGCACAGCCCCAUGUUGUUAUGCACAGAAAAAACAGCGCUGGAGACUUCUCCUCCCACUCAGUGUGUCCCCAUCUGGGCCCCACUCACACAUCCCUCAGUCUCAACAGCAGCUGAGCAGGAGCAGCAAUCAUGCUGCUGCUGGCAGCUCUGAUGGUUGCAACUGCAUGGUCUUAUGGAUUUGCACAGGAGAUUCCCAUACAGAUCCCUGUAUCCAUCACCAAGUCACAAGGAAAUACAGAUCUGAAGUGUCAUUUUAAGGACUUCUCUGGAAAUUUUGAUAACACCGUCAUACACUGGUAUCAACAGAAGGAGAAUAAAGCUCCAGUCAGGAUGAUCCACUACACAUCAGGAAGAGCAGUAGUAGAUGAGGGCUUUCAAAGGCAGAGAUAUAGGAUUCAAACUAUUUCUGGGCAGAAACUUUGCACUCUUACCAUAAGAAAUGUAAUUCCGGAUGAUGCUGCUACUUACUACUGUGCCUACUGGGACGCUCACUGUGCCAGGUGCCAAACAAUCACCUCAACAAAUACUUCCUGUGCAGCUCAACCACAAAUCAUUUGGAAUAGCCAGGUGCCAAGCAGAUUUCUGCUCUGUGGGCAGAAGAAUAGCAAUGGACCGAUAUGCAUUUCAUCUGUCCUGGUAGAUUUUGGCCACAGGGUUCUAGUCUCCUGUACUCUCCAUACAUCCCUAGCACAAAUGUGAUUGUAACUGACUGAGGUUGCCCACACAGCAGAUUGCCCUGGGGUGCCGCUGCCAGGAGUGACUGUGCGUAUGCAUCUCCCUCCCUUCUCCUUCAGGUCUGUUCCAUCCUUCUCUCCUCCUUGCUCAUGCACUGAAGCCACCUACCUGCCUGUCCUGACAUAAAACGAAAUGGCUUUUGCCGUUGGUAUUUACUAGAAAGAGGCAGUCAUCCAAUCCUCUUAGCAAUAUGAGCAUAACACCACAGAGCCACGUGUCUUUCUGCUUUUGUUUUCCAGUCUUUCUUUCCAAGAAGUGUUUGCAUUUCUUCUGAGGCUCAAAACUGAAAUCCUGUGGCUGUGCACUUCCUCCCACACUCCAGAUCAAAGGCAGGGCACACGCUCACGGUGCUGCUGCCCGUUGCUGAAAGCUGAUACCUCUUCAGCCGAGGGCAGCACGGGCAGAGAGCAUUUUGUCGUGCUGGAGAUGGGUGAGCAUGCUGGGCCAGUUGAAGGGGGUCCCACAUGGAAAAGGACAUCCACUCUGAGUGACGGCACACAUUCUGUGCCCACUAGGGUGUCCUCUCAGCUGGCAGCCUUGCACCUGAUGCCCAGCUGCUCUUGCUCUCAAUCUUUUCUCAGUAAUCUUAUGCAAAAUUCAAGUCAUUGGAUUGAGCAAUAAUUCAUGCAUUUCUCUGAAAAGGAGAUGGGAUGAUAAACUUCUAACCAACCUGAAGGAACAUUUGCAGGC